rnacentral:rRNA from 1 species
GUGCCAGCCCCGGUAAUACGUAGGGUGCGCGCGUUGUCCGGAAUUACUGGGCGUAAAGAGCUCGUAGGCGGUUUGUCACGUCGUCUGUGAAAUCCUGCAACUCAAUUGCAGGCGUGCAGGCGAUACGGGCAGACUUGAGUACUACAGGGGAGACUGGAAUUCCUGGUGUAGCGGUGAAAUGCGCAGAUAUCAGGAGGAACACCGGUGGCGAAGGCGGGUCUCUGGGUAGUAACUGACGCUGAGGAGCGAAAGCGUGGGGAGCGAACAGGAUUAGUUACCCUGGUAGUCCACGCCGUAAACGGUGGGUACUAGGUGUGGGGCUCAUUUCACGAGUUCCGUGCCGUAGCUAACGCAUUAAGUACCCCGCCUGGGGAGUACGGCCGCAAGGCUAAAACUCAAAUAAAUUGGCGG